UGUAUUAUAAAUGGCCGCGGUAUUUUGACCGUGCGAAGGUAGCAUAAUCAAUAGUCUAUUAAUUGUAGUCUGGAAUGAAAGGCUUGACGAGGGGUAGCUUUCUUAGUUUUAUGGAUUAAUUUUAAUUAUUAGUGAAAAUGCUAAUAUGAAUGAGGGGGACGAGAAGACCCUGUGGAGUUUUAUAUAAAAACAUUGUUGUUGGUAUUAUAUAUGUUUAUUAUAUUUUGCUGGGGCGGCAAUAAAAUCACAUUUAUUAAUAUGUCUUUUUAAAAGGAAUUUGAUCCAUUAAUAAUGAUUAUUAGACUAAAUUACCCCAGGGAUAACAGCGUAAUUUUAUUGAAGAGUUCUUAUCGAUAAUAAAGUUUGCGACCUCGAUGUUGGAUUAAGAUUCCCUUAGGGUGUAGCUGUUCUAUAGGGUGGUCUGUUCGACCAUUAAAAUCUUACAUGAUCUGAGU
rnacentral:rRNA from 1 species